rnacentral:rRNA from 1 species
GACGAACGCUGGCGGCGUGCCUAAUACAUGCAAGUAGAACGCUGAAGGAGGAGCUUGCUUCUCUGGAUGAGUUGCGAACGGGUGAGUAACGCGUAGGUAACCUGCCUGGUAGCGGGGGAUAACUAUUGGAAACGAUAGCUAAUACCGCAUAAUAGUAGAUGUUGCAUGACAUUUACUUAAAAGGUGCAAUUGCAUCACUACCAGAUGGACCUGCGUUGUAUUAGCUAGUUGGUGGGGUAACGGCUCACCAAGGCGACGAUACAUAGCCGACCUGAGAGGGUGAUCGGCCACACUGGGACUGAGACACGGCCCAGACUCCUGCGGGAGGCAGCAGUAGGGAAUCUUCGGCAAUGGACGAAAGUCUGACCGAGCAACGCCGCGUGAGUGAAGAAGGUUUUCGGAUCGUAAAGCUCUGUUGUAAGAGAAGAACGAGUGUGAGGGUGGAAAGUUCACACUGUGACGGUAUCUUACCAGAAAGGGACGGCUAACUACGUG